GUGCAUUAUUUUAAUAGAAGUCGGGGAAUACAGAAAAUAGAUUAUAUACCAAUUUGUCCAGAGGUAUUUAAAAUAGUUUUUCACCCCUGCAACUAAUGUGCCACUUCCCUUUAAAUACUCUUAAAUGCAAAAUGGGAAAAAUAAUCCGAUACAUACUAAUUAGCCCAUGCAGUAUGAAUAGUCUCAAAGCAAUAAGACCAUCUUAAUGCUAGUUUUCAUGAGUUGUACAGUACAGCAAUGUGUUUAUUGAAGUCAUU